UACGUAGGGUGCAAGCGUUGUCCGGAAUUAUUGGGCGUAAAGAGCUCGUAGGCGGUUUGUCGCGUCGGCUGUGAAAACCUGGGGCUCAACCCCGGGCCUGCAGCCGAUACGGGCAAACUAGAAUUCGGUAGGGGAGACUGGAAUUCCUGGUGUAGCGGUGAAAUGCGCAGAUAUCAGGAGGAACACCAAUGGCGAAGGCAGCUCACUGGGACGUUACUGACGCUGAGACGCGAAAGCGUGGGGAGCAAACAGG
rnacentral:rRNA from 1 species